GACGAACGCUGGCGGCGUGCUUAACACAUGCAAGUCGAACGGAAAGGCCCUGCUUUUGUGGGGUGCUCGAGUGGCGAACGGGUGAGUAACACGUGAGUAACCUGCCCUUGACUUUGGGAUAACUUCAGGAAACUGGGGCUAAUACCGGAUAGGUGCUCCUGCUGCAUGGUGGGGGUUGGAAAGUUUCGGCGGUUGGGGAUGGACUCGCGGCUUAUCAGCUUGUGGGUGGGGUAGUGGGUUACCAAGGCUUUGACGUGUAGCCGGCCUGAGAGGGUGACCGGCCACAUUGGGACGGAGAUGCGGCCCAGACUCCAACGGGAGGCAGCAGUGGGGAAGAUUGCACAAUGGGCGGAAGCCAGAUGCAGCAACGCCGCGUGCGGGGUGACGGCCUGCGGGUUGUAAACCGCUUUCGCCUGUGACGAAGCGUGAGUGACGGUAAUGGGUAAAGAAGCACCGGCUAACUACGUG
rnacentral:rRNA from 1 species